CAGUAUCAAUGAUGAUUAAAACUAACACCAUCUUUCGGCUGAGUCCUGAUGGAUUAAUUAAUAUCUGAUGGUACAG